rnacentral:rRNA from 1 species
AGAGAUGUGUGAUGACGCAUAUCAAUAAGCGGAGGAAAAGAAACUAACAAGGAUUCCCUUAGUAACGGCGAGUGAAGCGGGAAGAGCUCAAAUUUGAAAUCUUCAAGGUUCUACCUUGACGAAUUGUAGUUUAUAGAAGUGUUUUCUGUUAGUAGGAGUGGCGAAAAGUUCUUUGGAAUAGGACAUCAUAGAGGGUGAGAAUCCCGUAUUUGGUACCAUUCUUUUCUAGCUGUGUGAUACACUUUCAACGAGUCGGAUUGUUUGGGAAUGCAGUCCAAAAUGGGUGGUAAAAUUUCAUCUAAAGCUAAAUAUUGGCGAGAGACCGAUAGCGAACAAGUACCGUGAGGGAAAGAUGAAAAGAACUUUGAAAAGAGAGUUAAACAGUACGUGAAAUUGUCAAAAGGGGAAGCGUUUGACACCAGUGUUGUUUUUCUCGAAAAUCAAUUACGAAUGUUUUGUUUUUAAGAAGUUAUGACUUCAUCGGCUUGCUUCUUUCUUUACGAAACUUUCUUAAUGCACUUUUCGGUUAACAAGUCAACAUCAAUUUCUUUUGUUGUAAAAGGGUACGAGGAAGGUGGCUCUCUUUUCGGAGAAAGUGUUUAUAGCCUUGUACCUCUGCAAUCGGAGAGAUUGAGGUCUGCAGCGUAGAUCCUUCGGGGCUAGAUACGUUUGUGCUAAGUUAUAGCUUUGUCAUAGACAACAUGUUGACUAUGCUUAGUCUUGUAGCUUACUCGCUGAUAGUAUUUUACCUACGCUUAGGAUGUUGAGUAGCGACAUACGCAC